rnacentral:rRNA from 1 species
CAGGACGAACGCUGGCGGCGUGCCUAAUACAUGCAAGUCGAGCGGACCGACGGGAGCUUGCUCCCUUAGGUCAGCGGCGGACGGGUGAGUAACACGUGGGUAACCUGCCUGUAAGACUGGGAUAACUCCGGGAAACCGGGGCUAAUACCGGAUGCUUGAUUGAACCGCAUGGUUCCAAUCAUAAAAGGUGGCUUUUAGCUACCACUUACAGAUGGACCCGCGGCGCAUUAGCUAGUUGGUGAGGUAACGGCUCACCAAGGCGACGAUGCGUAGCCGACCUGAGAGGGUGAUCGGCCACACUGGGACUGAGACACGGCCCAGACUCCUACGGGAGGCAGCAGUAGGGAAUCUUCCGCAAUGGACGAAAGUCUGACGGAGCAACGCCGCCGUGAGUGAUGAAGGUUUUCGGAUCGUAAAACUCUGUUGUUAGGGAAGAACAACGUACCGUUCCGAAUAGGGCGGUACCUUGACGGUACCUAACCAGAAAGCCACGGCUAACUACGUGCCAGCCGCUGC